GUGCUCACUUGGGCAGCACAUAGACUGAAAUCGGAACGAUUCAGAGAAGAUUAUCGUGGCACCUGUGCAAGAAUGACACCCAAAUUCGUGAAGCGUCCCAUAUAUUU